GACAAGUCGCGCUCGUGGCCACGUUUCGAAGACGACCUCCUGCCGUACACGGACCGACCAAAACACACGUGGACUGGCUUCUACACGACUAGACCUGGCCUCAAGAUGAUGACGCGUUACGCCAACGGAUUCCUCCAGGCCUGCAAGCAGCUUUCGGUUCUUGGUGCUCAAGAGCAGGUCAACAAGGUGCGGGAUCUGCAGGAAGCAGUAGCCGUGAUGCAACACCACGACGCCAUCACGGGAACUUCAGUCAGCCGUGUUGCCAGUGACUAUGCGG
rnacentral:lncRNA from 1 species